rnacentral:rRNA from 1 species
UACGAAGGGGGCUAGCGUUGUUCGGAAUUACUGGGCGUAAAGCGCACGCAGGCGGCUCGAUAAAUUAGAAGUGAAAGCCCCGGGCUUAACCUGGGAAUUGCUUUUAAGACUGUCGAGCUAGAAUCCAGAAGAGGGUAGUGGAAUUCCGAGUGUAGAGGUGAAAUUCGUAGAUAUUCGGAAGAACACCAGUGGCGAAGGCGGCUCACUGGCCCGGUACUGACGCUGAGGUGCGAAAGCGUGGGGAGCAAACAGG